rnacentral:rRNA from 1 species
CAGUAGCCGCGGGAAUACGUAGGUGGCAAGCGUUGUCCGGAAUUAUUGGGCGUAAAGGGCUCGCAGGCGGUUUCUUAAGUCUGAUGUGAAAGCCCCCGGCUCAACCGGGGAGGGUCAUUGGAAACUGGGAAACUUGAGUGCAGAAGAGGAGAGUGGAAUUCCACGUGUAGCGGUGAAAUGCGUAGAGAUGUGGAGGAACACCAGUGGCGAAGGCGACUCUCUGGUCUGUAACUGACGCUGAGGAACGAAAGCGUGGGGAGCGAACAGGAUUAGAGACCCGGGUAGUCCCUGUCUCUUAUAC